rnacentral:rRNA from 1 species
GACGAACGCUGGCGGCGUGCUUAACACAUGCAAGUCGAACGGAAAGGCCCUGCUUUUGUGGGGUGCUCGAGUGGCGAACGGGUGAGUAACACGUGAGUAACCUGCCCUGGACUUUGGGAUAACUUCAGGAAACGGGGGCUAAUACCGGAUAGGAGCUCCUGCUGCAUGGUGGGGGUUGGAAGGUUUCGGCGGUUGGGGAUGGAAUCGCGGCUUAUCAGCUUGUUGGUGGGGUAGUGGCUUACCAAGGCUUUGACGGGUAGCCGGCCUGAGAGGGUGACCGGCCACAUUGGGACUGAGAUACGGCCCAGACUCCUACGGGAGGCAGCAGUGGGGAAUAUUGCACAAUGGGCGGAAGCCUGAUGCAGCAACGCCGCGUGCGGGAUGACGGCCUUCGGGUUGUAAACCGCUUUCGCCUGUGACGAAGCGUGAGUGACGGUAAUGGGUAAAGAAGCACCGGCUAACUACGUG